CACAAAGCCACGUUUAUUGACUCGCCAGGCGAGGAAACACGCACAAGUGAAGAAAUUCACUGAAUAGUCAGCCGAGGAGGGAGAGUCGGGGAUGUUUAAUCUUGGAGAGGGGCUCACAAUGAUUAAGGCUCGAAAACCAGCACUCCAGAAAUUAAUCUAAAGGUCUGUACCUGGUUGGUUCAAACAAAUCCAUCGUUCAUUGUUGAGGAAAGAGUCUUUAGUUGAGUCCAGUGGGGGUUUGGCGUUUGGGUCCACUUCAGCUGCUUAGAAUCAGUUAUGAUGAAACACAAUAUUUAAUUGUGAUAUCUCCUAGGGCAUGUGUUGCUAUAAGUGGAAAUUUUUCCUGUUUCAAUUCCCGCCUGCUCCUCCUCAAUGGAAGCUCCGUAUAUGACACGUAUGAGCAUAAGAAUGGUGUCAAACCUGCCCAGGAUACCAGAAAUUUCUGUGAAUUUGGAUGAUGAGGAUUAACCAGAGUGUUUCUCUUCACCCCACAACACCUGCUCCUGAAAAGGAAGCAUUUGUUCCUUGCAUGCAAAUCAUUUUGUAUUAAAGAGGCAUCUAAUGAGCAUCGGAUGAAAGUCCCCUGGAGCAGGGUUCCCACCUUAACUGGAUUGCUCAUCAUCUCUCAACUCUGGAUUCUUUGGACUCCCAACAUCAUCCUGACUUUAACGGUUCAUCC
rnacentral:lncRNA from 1 species